rnacentral:rRNA from 1 species
UCGAUGAUCCCCGCUUCACCUAACCAUUCCUCGCCCAUCAGUCUGUAUACCUCCGUCGAAAGCUUACCCUGUGAACGUCCGCAGUAGGCUCAAUGAUUCCCCAUCAAUACGUCAGGUCAAGGUGCAGCUUAAGGAAUGGCAAGCAAUGGGCUACAAUUUCUAAUCUAGAACAAACGAAAGACUAUGUGAAACCCUAGUCAUGAAGGUGGAUUUAGUAGUAAAAAGAAACUAGAGUGUUCUUUUUAACCCGGCUCUGGGACGCGUACACACCGCCCGUCACCCUCUUCGAUAGUACUAUAUCUGUUAAUAACCCCAUAUCACGUUUUAGAAGAGGCAAGUCGUAACAUGGUAAGUGUACUGGAAAGUGCACUUGGUACACUACAAAAUGUAGCUUAACAAAAGUUCCUCGCUUACACCUAGGAGAUGUCUGUUUAACCCAGAUCAUUUUGAGCCUGAAAUCUAGCCCACAAAUUCAUAUGCCCUUACACUACCCAAACAAGCAAACAAAACAUUUUAACAAUUUAGUACAGGCGAUCGAAAAACUUCUAAGCGCUUCAGAUAAAGUACCGCAAGGGAAAUAUGAAAUAGAAAUGAAACAAUCCUAAAGCCCCAAAUAGCAGAGACACCCCCUCGUACCUUUUGCAUCAUGGUCUAGCCAGUCUACCCAAGCAAAAUGAAAUUUUCAGUUUGACUCCCCGAAACCAAGCGAGCUACUUCAGAACAGCCAAAAGGGCCAACCCGUCUCUGUUGCAAAAGAGUGGGAAGAUUCUCAAGUAGAGGUGAUAAGCCUACCGAGCUAGGAGAUAGCUGGUUGUUCAAGAAAAGAGUUUUAGCUCAACCUUAAGUUUUUUUAUUAAACUAAACAGACCCUCAGACUUAAGAGCUAUUCAAAUAAGGCACAGCUUAUUUGAAAUAGGAUACAACCUACGACAUAGGGUAAGCAAGAGUUACUUAAAUAAAGUGGGCCUAAAAGCAGCCAUCUUUAAAAAAGCGUUAAAGCUUAACUACCCUCUACUCACAAUACCUAAAAUCUUCACUAACCCCUCACUACUAUUGAACAGUUUUAUACUUAUAUAAAAGCUAUUAUGCUAGAACUAGUAACAAGAAAUUGCCCUUCUCCUAAAUGUAAGCAUACACCAAAAUAAACUCUGUUGGUCAUUAACGUAAAUGCUAAACUAUAGUAACACUCGCUAGAAAACCCUAUAACUCCCAACGUUAACCUUACACCAGAACAUUACAGGAAAGAUUAAAAGAAAAAGAAGGAACUCGGCAAACCUUAGCCUCGCCUGUUUACCAAAAACAUCGCCUCUUGCAAAACAUAAGAGGUCCAGCCUGCCCAGUGACAAAGUUCAACGGCCGCGGUACCCUAACCGUGCGAAGGUAGCGUAAUCACUUGUUCUUUAAAUGAGGACUAGUAUCAACGGCACUACGAGGGCUAUACUGUCUCCUUUUUCUAAUCAGUGAAACUGAUCUCCCCGUGAAGAAGCGGGGAUCAAAAUAUAAGACGAGAAGACCCCAUGGAGCUUUAAACUCUCUGUGCGCUUCUAUGCUCCCGCACCAUCAGACAUAAGAAAACUGCACACUAGUUUUAGGUUGGGGGGACCACGGAGUACAAUUUAACCUCCAUAACAAAUGGGUUAAUCACCCUUAUCCACGAGACACAUCUCUAAGAAUUAUUAUACUAAUGCUUAUGACCCGAUAUUCGAUCAAUGGACCAAGUUACCCUGGGGAUAACAGCGCAAUCUACUUCAAGAGCCCAUAUCGACAAGUAGGUUUACGACCUCGAUGUUGGAUCAGGGUAUCCCGGUGGUGCAGCCGCUACCAAUGGUUCGUUUGUUCAACGAUUAAAACCCUAC